CUAUCUCUCCCGAUCACGCUCCCUCUGGUCUCCAGCCCUGACAUUCAAUGCGUCUCCCACGGAACUCGUCAAAGAAACGACAUGCCAUCGUCUGCAAAAUUAUAAUUUAACGAGAAAAUUGUCAAAGGCUCGAAGGAAUUGUGCCGGAGGUGCUGUCCCCUGCGUGGAGAACCGAUGCUCUUUGGAACCCCCCCAACACCCAAAUGUUCUAGAAGCAUCACUCAGAUCCGGUCGGGGGGAAAGCUGGGAGAAUAGCGAGUGGACAAGGACGAGAGAACACUCCACACACGUCUUUGGUUCAAGAAGAAGGCACUCACCGACCCCAGCAUCCUCCCUCCCUCCCUGUCUCUCUUUCCUCUCUCUCUCUUUCUCUCGCUCUCUCGUGGGGGAAGGGUUGGCACCCGGCAGGCGGCCCAAGCCGGGUCCCAGGCCAGGGAAUCCUGUCAUCCAGCACAGUCCUCGGGAGAAAUCUUUGGUAUCAGGCGUGAUUUUCCAAUCACAGACAUGAGCUUGAGUGAGGUAGCCUUUACCUGGGUGGGGGCGCGUUUCACCAGAAGUGUCUUUUGCAUUCUC